rnacentral:antisense_RNA from 1 species
CUUGACCGAACCCAGCCACAGCGGGGUCUCCCGAUCACGCCCGUAGGUCGCCAGCAGCGCCUGCGCCUC